rnacentral:rRNA from 1 species
UACGUAGGGGGCUAGCGUUGUCCGGAAUCAUUGGGCGUAAAGAGCGUGUAGGCGGCCAGGUAGGUCAGCUGUGAAACUCGAGGCUCAACCUCGAGACGCCGGUUGAAACCAUCUGGCUAGAGUCCGGAAGAGGAGAGUGGAACUCCGAGUGUAGAGGUGAAAUUCGUAGAUAUUCGGAAGAACACCAGUGGCGAAGGCGGCUCACUGGUCCGGUACUGACGCUGAGGUGCGAAAGCGUGGGGAGCAAACAGGG